GAUGAACGCUAGCGAUAGGCUUAACACAUGCAAGUCGAGGGGCAGCAUGGUCUUAGCUUGCUAAGACUGAUGGCGACCGGCGCACGGGUGCGUAACGCGUAUGCAACUUGCCUCACAGAGGGGGAUAACCCGUCGAAAGACGGACUAAUACCGCGUACACUUGGGAUAGGGCAUCCUGACCCAAGGAAAUGAAAUUCGCUGUGAGAUAGGCAUGCGUCCCAUUAGCUAGUUGGUGAGGUAACGGCUCACCGAGGCGACGAUGGGUAGGGGAACUGAGAGGUUGAACCCCCACACUGGUACUGAGACACGGACCAGACUCCUACGGGAGGCAGCAGUGAGGAAUAUUGGUCAAUGGGCGAGAGCCUGAACCAGCCAAGUCGCGUGAAGGAUGACUGUCUUAUGGAUUGUAAACUUCUUUUAUACGGGAAUAACAAGAGCCACGUGUGGCUCCCUGCAUGUACCGUAUGAAUAAGCAUCGGCUAACUCCGCG
rnacentral:rRNA from 1 species